rnacentral:rRNA from 2 species
CAGCGAAACUGCGAAUGGCUCAUUAUAUAAGUUAUCGUUUAUUUGAUAGUACCUUACUACUUGGAUAACCGUGGUAAUUCUAGAGCUAAUACAUGCUAAAAAUCCCGACUUCGGAAGGGAUGUAUUUAUUAGAUUAAAAACCAAUGCCCUUUGGGCUCCUUGGUGAUUCAUAAUAACUUUUCGAAUCGCAUGGCCUUGCGCCGGCGAUGGUUCAUUCAAAUUUCUUCCCUAUCAACUUUCGAUGUUUGGGUAUUGGCCAAACAUGGUCGCAACGGGUAACGGAGGGUUAGGGCUCGACCCCGGAGAAGGAGCCUGAGAAACGGCUACUACAUCCAAGGAAGGCAGCAGGCGCGCAAAUUACCCAAUCCCGAUUCGGGGAGGUAGUGACAAUAAAUACUGAUACAGGGCUCUUUUGGGUCUUGUAAUUGGAAUGAGUACAAUUUAAAUCCCUUAACGAGGAACAAUUGGAGGGCAAGUCUGGUGCCAGCAGCCGCGGUAAUUCCAGCUCCAAUAGCGUAUAUUAAAGUUGUUGUGGUUAAAAAGCUCGUAGUUGAACCUUGGGCCUGGCUGGCCGGUCCGCCUCACCGCGUGUACUGGUCCGGCCGGGCCUUUCCCUCUGUGGAACCUCAUGCCCUUCACUGGGUGUGGCGGGGAAACAGGACUUUUACUUUGAAAAAAUUAGAGUGCUCCAGGCAGGCCUAUGCUCGAAUACAUUAGCAUGGAAUAAUAAAAUAGGACGUGUGGUUCUAUUUUGUUGGUUUCUAGGACCGCCGUAAUGAUUAAUAGGGACAGUCGGGGGCAUCAGUAUUCAAUUGUCAGAGGUGAAAUUCUUGGAUUUAUUGAAGACUAACUACUGCGAAAGCAUUUGCCAAGGAUGUUUUCAUUAAUCAGGAACGAAAGUUAGGGGAUCGAAGACGAUCAGAUACCGUCGUAGUCUUAACCAUAAACUAUGCCGACUAGGGAUCGGACGAUGUUAUUUUUUGACGCGUUCGGCACCUUACGAGAAAUCAAAGUG